UACGUAGGGUGCGAGCGUUGUCCGGAAUUAUUGGGCGUAAAGAGCUUGUAGGCGGUUUGUCGCGUCUGCCGUGAAAGCCCAGGGCUUAACCCUGGGUCUGCGGUGGGUACGGGCAGACUAGAGUGCGGUAGGGGAGACUGGAAUUCCUGGUGUAGCGGUGAAAUGCGCAGAUAUCAGGAGGAACACCGAUGGCGAAGGCAGGUCUCUGGGCCACUACUGACGCUGAGAAGCGAAAGCGUGGGGAGCAAACAGG
rnacentral:rRNA from 1 species